GGUGUUAAUGUGAAGGCUGAGAGAUGAGUCAGGUUUUCGAUGGAUAUGAGCGUCAAUACUGUGAGCUUUCUGCUAAUUUGUCGCGGAAAUGCACGUCAACUAGUGUCCUUGAUGGAGAGCUGAAGAAGCAGAAGCUUUCUGAAAUAAAGACUGGAUUGGAUGAAGCAGAAACUUUGAUUCAGAAGAUGGACCUCGAAGCAAGGAGUUUUCCACCGAAUCUGAAGGCAGUGCUUCUUGCUAAGUUGAGAGAGUAUAAGACUGAUCUCAACAAUUUGAAGAAUGAAUCCAAAAGAAUCACAUCUUCCCACAUCAAUCAGGCUACCCGAGAUGAAUUGUUGGAAUCAGGAAAGGCAGAUGCAACAAUGGUGUCUGCUGAUCAAAGAGGGAGGCUAUUGAUGUCCACAGAGAGAUUGAAUCAGUCGACUGAUAGAAUCAAGGAGAGUAGAAGAACAAUGUUAGAAACAGAAGAACUCGGUGUGUCAGUCCUUCAAGAUUUGCAUCAACAACGCCAAGCUCUCCUACAUGCUCACAACACGCUUCAAGGGGUGGACGACAAUAUUGGCAGAAGCAAGAAGGUCUUGACUGCAAUGUCAAGAAGGAUGAGCAGGAAUAAAUGGAUAAUUGGCUCCUUAAUUGCAUUGCUUGUGUUUGCCAUCUUAUUGAUCCUCUAUUUCAAGCUCACUCGUUAACCAGCCAUCUUAUAAAAAAUUCAAGUUGUUUGAGCAUUCCCUAGGAUUGUUGCAUAUUCCUUCCCACAUGUCAGAGCUUUCAAUACGUUUUUCGUGUUCUUUCCAGUCUUAGCUACAGUAAUGCAACCCUCAAGAGUUCUAGAGUUCCAUUCAUUUAUGUAAUUAUUUAUUUUAUAUGCAACCAAAAGUAAGCUUAUAUUCUUUUUCAUCGUAGAUUUUUGUCUUUUCAAUCUCAGAAAGGACAUAUAGUUUACGCUUCACUUGUAGAGGAUCCUGAGUAUCUAUCUCUUAAGAAAAUUACAGGAGUACUUUUUUAAAA